rnacentral:rRNA from 1 species
CACAGCCGCGGUAAUACGUAGGGUGCAAGCGUUGUCCGGAAUUAUUGGGCGUAAAGAGCGUGUAGGCGGCUCGACAAGUCCGCUGUGAAAGUCCAGGGCUCAACCCUGGAAUGCCGGUGGAUACUGUCGAGCUAGAGUCCGGAAGGGGCGAGUGGAACUCCUGGUGUAGCGGUGAAAUGCGCAGAUAUCAGGAAGAACACCAAUGGCGAAGGCAGCUCGCUGGGACGUGACUGACGCUGAGACGCGAAAGCGUGGGGAGCGAACAGGAUUAGAUACCCGUGUAGUCCCUGUCUCUUAUACA